UGGAUGGACCCGCGGUGCAUUAGCUAGUUGGUGAGGUAACGGCUCACCAAGGCGACGAUGCAUAGCCGACCUGAGAGGGUGAUCGGCCACAUUGGGACUGAGACACGGCCCAAACUCCUACGGGAGGCAGCAGUAGGGAAUCUUCGGCAAUGGACGAAAGUCUGACCGAGCAACGCCGCGUGAGUGAAGAAGGUUUUCGGAUCGUAAAACUCUGUUGUUAGAGAAGAACAAGGAUGAGAGUAACUGUUCAUCCCUUGACGGUAUCUAACCAGAAAGCCACGGCUAACUACGUGCCAGCAGCCGCGGUAAUACGUAGGUGGCAAGCGUUGUCCGGAUUUAUUGGGCGUAAAGCGAGCGCAGGCGGUUUCUUAAGUCUGAUGUGAAAGCCCCCGGCUCAACCGGGGAGGGUCAUUGGAAACUGGGAGACUUGAGUGCAGAAGAGGAGAGUGGAAUUCCAUGUGUAGCGGUGAAAUGCGUAGAUAUAUGGAGGAACACCAGUGGCGAAGGCGGCUCUCUGGUCUGUAACUGACGCUGAGGCUCGAAAGCGUGGGGAGCAAACAGGAUUAGAUACCCUGGUAGUCCA
rnacentral:rRNA from 1 species